CUUCAUCGGUUCUCAAAACCACGGCUAAGUAUAUGAUGACAGUCAAUGUAGAUACAUCAGACGGCCUUGUUAACGGAGCCACUGGUGUUUUAAUGCAGAUAGAUCUCAACACAUCCAAUACUCCCCAACUUCUUUGGAUACAUUUUCUCGAGGAAAGCGUAGGAGUUAACGCACGGUCGAAACGCACCCAUAGUAAUGAGUCUUCAUGGACACAAAUUCAGAAAACUACAAAGAGUUUUCAAUAUCACCAAAACGAACAAGUUACUAUUGACCGUAAUCAGUUUCCGGUUGUAGUUGCAGAAGCUAUUACUAUUCAUAAAAGUCAGGGAGCUACAUACAGCAAAGUUGUCGUCCACACUUCCUCCAAUAUGAAAAGAGAAGCAUUGUAUGUAGCUUGCAGUAGGGCCACCAGUGCGAAUGGACUUUAUAUCGUUGGGCCUUUCAUUCCCCCGAGGACCAAGCAGAAUUGUCUUGUCGCUAGAGAGAUGGAGACCUUACGUUCCACUAAGUUACUUCACACCCACUUCGAUUGUUUACUCAAUCCGUC
rnacentral:lncRNA from 1 species